CAUGCCCUGUUAGACAUCUCGGUCGGCCCAGGGAAAUGGAUAUCUUCUGGAGCUCACAAAAGCUUUCAUCCACAGGAAAUGCCCGACUGUUUACAUUUCAGAAGGCACCAUAUGGUCUAGCCCUGUGUUCCAAGAUCUGAAAGAAAGGGAGUACGGCUGAGUCCUCAGGGAGAGGAGGUGAUGGUGGACAGGUGCUGUGCGGUACCCAGCUACCAGGUGACUCCACGGUGGCCUCUUCCCUUGGGAUUGCUGUCUCCUAAGACUGAAGCCCAGAUCAGAAAUGGAAACAAAAGGUACAAAAGUCAUAAAUGCCAGCCCAAGAGUUUAGGCUGAACAUGGGGCCAGUAGGACCUUCUUGAGGACUGAACCUUAAGCUCAUGUGAAGGAAGAGAAGUGUGCUGGGUAGAAAGAGUCAGGGGCAUUCACAUGUGGUGUGUACCAUGGGCAUUCCUGCUCUGUAAUGGGUGGGGGCAGGCAGGUAGGGCAGGUGGGGAAGUGAGGAGCCCAAGGACCUGAGACUCUAUCCUGGGCACAAAAUGAG
rnacentral:lncRNA from 1 species